UGAAGGUAGCUCUCUAUGUUUGACAGUUGCUUAUUGGAGGAGAAUGCUGAGAAGGGGUUGUCUAUCAGUGAAGAUGACCAGCAACCAUUUAAUAUUGCAUUUAUUAUGAGUGAAGUGGAUAUAGUUGCUCCAGGAUCAACUAAAGCACUUGUUACAAAUCUUCAUCUAGACAUUCGUAAAGGAGACAAUCUUCUGAUAAUGGGACCAAGUUCGUCUGGAAAAUCCAGCAUUUUGCGUGUACUACGUGGACUGUGGCCGGCUGCUCGGGGAACAGUUGCUUAUGACUUUCCUCCUGGGCCUAAAGUUGUCAUCUUUCUGCCCCAAAAACCACUCCUCACUAAUGGCUCUCUUCUAGAACAGAUAAUCUACCCUCUGAGACAAGACCCAAAGGAUCCAGUCAGCAAUGAUACCUGUGAAAACAUACUUAGUCUUCUGGACUCCUUGCACAUGAGAGGUCUUGUCAACCGUGCGGGGGGGCUCAGAAAUGAUCCUGAUUGGAAUUGGAAUGAUGCACUUUCACCUGGAGAAAUGCAGCGUGUUUGUUUUUUGCGUCUUCUCUUUCACCGACCUCAGUUUGCCCUUGUAGAUGAAGCAACAAGUGCUCUAAGUUUAGAUGUUGAGGAGCAGCUGUACAAGGCAUGCUUGCAACACAAUAUUACCAUAGUCAGUGUGGGACACAGGCAUUCUCUGAAAAGGUACCACAAUACCUUGCUAACCCUAGAUGGAAUAGGUGGCUGGAAGAAGGACACCAUUCAUCAAGAAUGUGAUGAAAUUAAUCCCCACUCUGAGAGAGAUAUGUCUUCACUCUGAGUGAAUGAACCAGUUUGUGAAGACAAAAAAAAAAAAUGGACAGCUUGCACCACCAACAAUCAGGUGUAAUGCUGGAGAAUGGGAAGACUGCUAAUGUACACCAGAAGAGUUACGAGAGAUAUGGGGACAUCUACGCGAGAACAAAUAGGAAGCGCGUCUGUCUAAUGCUCAGCAGAUGGAGGAUGAACCCUCCACCAUGUCUUGUGCUGAAUGACCCACAUGGUUUAGUACAGUGGUACCUAGAGUUACGAACUUAAUCUGUUCCAGGAGGCUGUUCGAGUGCCGAUACCAAACGAAUUUGUUCCCAUAAGGAAUAAUGUAAAUUUGAUUAGUCCAUUUCAGACCCCCAAAAAUACACUUACAAAAGUACCUACAAAAAUACACUUACACAACUGUUAGAGUUGGGAGCUGUUCAAAACUCAAGGUACCACUGUACUUGACAUGAAUUAUUUAAUUUAGUGCAAUGCAAUUCCUAUAUUUAAAUCAGGGGAUAAGUCUCUGCCACCAAAUUUUCAUCCAAUAGAGAGAUUAAGAGCCCUGACCCUAUGCUCCUGAAAGAUGUAGAAUGAGGAAAGAUACUGAAGUACAGUAUAUCAGUGGAAGACAGGCAUAAAAACAAUAUAUAUAAAGUACUAAGGAUAUCCAGUAAAGAGGGAACUCGAAAUAAUGGAUUUAAACAGGAAAAAUUUUGAAUUAGAAAGGAUGUAGGAAAGUAUUGGUUUGGGAAUAGAGCUGUCAGUGAGUGAACAAUCUGCUAAGUAGGGUUAUUGAAGCUAAAUCCUUAGGAGCUUUAAAAAUAGUUUAGACAAAUAUAUAAGAGUAAAAAGGAUUGGAUUUAAGUACAACCUGCCUAGAAUCAGUUAUUAGUUUUACUGAAGCGAAUUCAUUGGGUAGCUCUUAGGUUAAAUGUGCAUAGUGUACUUUUUGUGUUAUCAGGAUCAUUGUAAAAAAUAAUUUAUGGUAUGUACCGAAGGCCUAAAUAUUGACUUAUUCGUUCACAAAACUCCAGCUGGUUCAGCCAGCCCAGUGUAGCAUAGCGUGUAUAAGGUCAAGGAUGCAGCAGUGUUCAUGCACGCUAUCACUCAGUCUUCACUCAGUGCUAGAUAUUAUGCGGCCCUCACAACAGCGACUACUGAACCUUAACUUGAAAACAUUGGGAUAAAAAGAGU